GAUGAACGCUGGCGGCGUGCCUAACACAUGCAAGUCGAGCGGUAGAUACUGGAAUGAGAUUUCGGUCAAGUGAAAGUAUUGAGAGCGGCGGACGGGUGAGUAACGCGUAGGCAACCUGCCCCAUACAGAGGGAUAGCCUCGGGAAACCGGGAUUAAAACCUCAUAACGCCAAGAGUUCACAUGGACAUUUGGCCAAAGAUUUAUCGGUAUGGGAUGGGCCUGCGUCUGAUUAGCUAGUUGGGGGGGUAACGGCCUACCAAGGCAACGAUCAGUAGCCGACCUGAGAGGGUAAUCGGCCACAUUGGAACUGAGACACGGUCCAAACUCCUACGGGAGGCAGCAGUGGGGAAUAUUGCACAACGGGCGAAAGCCUGAUGCAGCAACGCCGCGUGAGCGAUGAAGGCCUUUGGGUCGUAAAGCUCUGUCUUUUGGGACGAUAAUGACGGUACCAAAGGAGGAAGCCACGGCUAACUACGUGCCAGCCGCCGCAGUAAUAC
rnacentral:rRNA from 1 species